UACGUAGGGUGCAAGCGUUAAUCGGAAUUACUGGGCGUAAAGCGUGCGCAGGCGGUUAUGUAAGACAGGUGUGAAAUCCCCGGGCUUAACCUGGGAACUGCAUUUGUGACUGCAUAGCUAGAGUACGGUAGAGGGGGAUGGAAUUCCGCGUGUAGCAGUGAAAUGCGUAGAUAUGCGGAGGAACACCGAUGGCGAAGGCAAUCCCCUGGACCUGUACUGACGCUCAUGCACGAAAGCGUGGGGAGCAACAGGAUU
rnacentral:rRNA from 1 species